rnacentral:rRNA from 1 species
AAACUUAAAUGAAUUGACGGGGACCCGCACAAGCAGCGGAGCGUGUGGUUUAAUUCGUUGCUACACGAAGAACCUUUACCUGGGUUUGACAUAUAAGUUGUAGGGAACUGAAAAGGGACCGACCCUUCGGGGAGCUUAUACAGGUGUUGCAUGGCUGUCGUCAGCUCGUGUCGUGAGAUGUUCGGUUAAGUCCGCUAACGAGCGCAACCCUCGCCGUAUGUUACAAGUGUCAUACGGGACUGCCGGUAAAAAGCCGGAGGAAGGUGAGGAUGAUGUCAAGUCAGCAUGACCUUUAUAUCCAGGGCUACACACACGCUACAAUGGUCUGUACAAUGGGUAGCCAAGCCGCGAGGCGGAGCCAAUCCUGAAAGCAGGCCUCAGUUCAGAUUGCAGUCUGCAACUCGACUGCAUGAAGCCGGAGUUGCUAGUAACCGCAGGUCAGCAAUACUGCGGUGAAUACGUUCCCGGGUCUU